rnacentral:tRNA from 1 species
GCACUGGUGGCGGAAUUGGUAUACGCGCUAGUCUCAGGAGCUAGUCGGGAAACCGGUGUGAGUUCGACUCUCAUCCAGUGCACCA